AUAAUUCUCUCGGCCUUCUGGCAAAGAUCAAGUGUAGUAUUUGUUCUUAUUAGUUUAAUAUUUGAUAUGUGGGCCAUCGGUUUACUUUUAUUAAGUUAAUAAUUUUUUGAGGGGAGGGCCCACUACAGUAGUUGCAGGAGCCUAUAAUGCUUUGCCUUGGUAUGGCACUAUUGCCUUGGCUUGGCGCACCCCAA